CAGUCGCCGCGGUAAAACGUAGGGUGCAAGCGUUAAUCGGAAUUACUGGGCGUAAAGCGUGCGCAGGCGGUUAUAUAAGUCAGAUGUGAAAUCCCUGGGCUCAACCUGGGAACUGCAUUUGAGACUGUAUGGCUAGAGUGUGUCAGAGGGGGGUAGAAUUCCACGUGUAACAGUGAAAUGCGUAGAUAUGUGGAGGAAUACCGAUGGCGAAGGCAGCCCCCUGGGAUAGCACUGACGCUCAUGCACGAAAGCGUGGGGAGCAAACAGGAUUAGAUACCCGUGUAGUCCCUGUCUCUUAUAC
rnacentral:rRNA from 1 species